AUUGAACGCUGGCGGCAUGCCUUACACAUGCAAGUCGAACGGCAGCACGGGGGCAACCCUGGUGGCGAGUGGCGAACGGGUGAGUAAUGCAUCGGAACGCGUCCUCUUGUGGGGGAUAACCAGUCGAAAGAUUGGCUAAUACCGCAUGAGAUCGAAAGAUGAAAGCGGGGGACCGCAAGGCCUCGCGCGAGGGGAGCGGCCGAUGCCGGAUUAGCUAGUUGGUGGGGUAAUGGCCCACCAAGGCGACGAUCCGUAGCUGGUCUGAGAGGACGACCAGCCACACUGGGACUGAGACACGGCCCCAGACUCCUACGGGAGGCAGCAGUGGGGAAUUUUGGACAAUGGGCGCAAGCCUGAUCCAGCCAUGCCGCGUGUGUGAAGAAGGCCUCGGGUUGUAAAGCACUUUCGGACGGAACGAAAUCGCGCGCAUGAACAAUGCGCGUGGAUGACGGUACCGUAAGAAGAAGCACCGGCUAACUACGUGCCAGCAGCCGCGGUAAUACGUAGGGUGCAAGCGUUAAUCGGAAUUACUGGGCGUAAAGGGUGCGCAGGCGGCCUCGCAUGUCAGGCGUGAAAUCCCCGGGCUCAACCUGGGAAUGGCGCUUGAAACUACGGGGCUGGAGUGUGGCAGAGGGAGGUGGAAUUCCACGUGUAGCGGUGAAAUGCGUAGAGAUGUGGAGGAACACCGAUGGCGAAGGCAGCCUCCUGGGCCAACACUGACGCUCAUGCACGAAAGCGUGGGGGAGC
rnacentral:rRNA from 1 species